AAAAAUUAUUUCUUUAGAUAUUUAAAAUGGUGAAUUGUAGUGUUUUGGGCUGCAAAAGCCGCACUGAACGAAAAUGUGAAAACUUAACCUUUCAUACUUUUCCACGAGAUGUCUUUAUUAAUAAAAUAUAGACAAAGGCGACAGGAAGAGACAGGAAGACAGGAAGACAAAGGUGGCCUUCAUUAUCCGUCACCGUCAGUUAUUAAAUUAUGUGAAAUAGCGGAGGAAAUAUUUAAAAAAAAUAAACUACUAAUAAGCAAAACAAACUUGAUGGAGCAUCUACUGCAAGCAUGUUGUACGAAAUGACCUUAAUUUAUUUUCCGAAAAUGACCAUUUUCGUGAUAACCACUAUUAUAUUUUAUUAAUUAAAGCCAUUUGUAGAAAAUACUUAAA